AAUUAUAGUAAACGUCACAUAAAUGUAAAGUCUGUUUGUUGCUGUUUUGUGGUUUCACGAUGUGUAAAAAGACAUCUUUUUUUUAUUAUUAUUUCAUACGAAUUGUAUUAAUGCUAUUUUACAGACAGUUAUGGAACGCUUGACCAGACAGACGCAGCCACACCUACAGCAAGCGAUACAACAAGUGGAAGUGGCUCACAUCUUGAAGGAGAGGAUGAUGAUGAUGAAAACACAGAUGCAAAUAUUGGAGAAAGUGGACCUUCAAUGACUGUGCCUAGCCAGUCUACACCGCCAUCAAAUACCACUGCAGCUACUCCUGGUUGGUCAAGUCGCAGGUUCAGGCACCGUGGAGCUGCUUCACUGACUCAGCAUCAACAGUUCUUGGUGACAAUGCAGCACACGCAGAACCAAUGGUUUGAGCAGCAACGGCAGUUGAGACAAGCCAGUGAUGAGGCAUUCAUGUCUCAAAUGUUUUCUGAAUCGACCCGUUCAAUGGGUUUGGUUGUUACACAACUCCUCACAGGGUUAGGUGCAUUAUUCCAGCGGCCAACUCCUCAACC